rnacentral:tRNA from 1 species
AGGACUAUAGUCAACAAUGAUAUCUGGGUUGCAUUCAGAAGGUGUUAUACUUAUAACUUGUCUUA